UCCGGCUUGACGCCGGCAGUCCCCCGAGAGUCCUCAGCAUGACCUGUUAGUAACAAAGGAUAAGGGUUGCGCUCGUUGCGGGACUUAACCCAACAUUUCACAACACGAGCUGACGACAGCCAUGCAGCACCUGUGCACGAUCUCCGAAGAGGGGCUCUCGUUUCUGAGAGCUUGCUCGUACAUGUCAAGCCUAGGUAAGGUUCUUCGCGUUGCGUCGAAUUAAACCACAUGCUCCACCGCUUGUGCGGGCCCCCGUCAAUUCCUUUGAGUUUUAGCCUUGCGGCCGUACUCCCCAGGCGGGGCGCUUAAUGCGUUAGCUGCGGCACGGAGACCGUGGAAUGGCCCCCACACCUAGCGCCCAACGUUUACGGCGUGGACUAC
rnacentral:misc_RNA from 1 species